UCUUUGAAACCAACCUACUCUUUUCUUUUCCUGUUGCUUUUCACUAAACACAAUGUCUGUAGUGCCAGACUAAAAUUAUGCUGCUUAAACUUGAUAAAGUACUACAUCAACAACAAAAAAGGAAACUAUGACAGAGAAAUGAACAGAAAGCAAAAAACAUUCAUUGUACGCCAGGCAGUCUUUUCUUUUCCAUCCCACAUUAUGCAGUGUGCAAACGUAUCCAAUUUGAAAAACUGACUCAGAGCAAACUGCUCGUGAGAGAGCGGGUGUGGAGGCAGACACAAAGCUGCUCACAGACCAGAUUAAGUGAGGUUAUUGCCAGCCCUCCCCCCAGCACAUCAGAGGUUUAAGCAAGCUGUGUCCUCCAGGGCAGUGGAGGCUGGCCAGGGUCCCCCCCCGAGCCCCCUCAGCUGUACCUGCCUCAGCCCAGGGCUGGGUGGGCAUCGUUUGUUUGAGGGCUGCCAGAAAUAGAGAUGAACUAGAUGGAGCAGUUCAGCAUAUUAAAUUGUCUCUGUGAAAUUGAGAGUGAGCAUAUGAAGAGGGAGAUUGGUAUUUGCUGUAUUUCUCUUUCUCAGAAACACUAUUAGUGAUCUCCCACUUCAGCACUUCACUUGUUGGUUAGUCCCCAUUCUCCAAAUGCCACUAUGUCACAGAGGGAACAUCAGCCCAGAAAUAAUUAGUAUGGCAAUUUGGCACUCACUCUUCAAAUUACAUCUAGCAGUUGCAUGUAAAAUUGUCUGUAGAAAUCAUCUGGCUCUUACCAAGAGUUAGUUUAAUAAUGGAGUUUGUUUUGCUACCGCCACUAUUAUGUUGAAGUCUGGUGGUUAAAAAUUGUUUUCCUCUCUUGGUGAUGGAAACAUCUUCUAGCAAAAGCAAGAGAAACUAAGCCUUUUCUGUUUUGCUGGAAUGAGGAGUCCUGACCUAAUCUCUCUUCAAAAUAUAAGUGCUGAUUGUGGCUCUCUGGGGAGACCCACCCAAAUGUUGGAUUUCAUACACAUUAUAGACUAUUGCAACUCUUCCUCUUACCACUAAUCAACUAUCAAUUGGUGCAGAGACAAUCGUAAGACCUCCUACUUCUUAUGUGACUACUAAGCCUAAACUGGGCUAUAAUUUUCCUGGUACAGAGGAAAGGUAGCAGGAAAGACUGAAAUACAACACUCCACACCUAGAGAGGAACCAGCUUUUCAUUCAAGAAGAUCCAAUGCCCUCAACUUGAAUGUUACUCACCUCCAUGUUUAAUGGAUAUUUUCAUGACACUUAUGAGAGAAAUGCAGAGUAUAUUUUUCUUUCUGCCAAAAACCCCCCGUCCUGAACCUGAGAAAACUUCUUCAGCAAAACUGGGGGUUUUGCCCCAGCAGGAACAGUCCCCUGAAAAUGUCCCUGUCCAGCACGUCAGCAUCAUCCCAGCAGCAAUAUUUUGUCCAGCCUUCAGCAGAUUACUAAGUGACUUAGCAAUCAGCCUUUCCCAUGACAGCAGGAGGUUCUGCAGCAGACCUUGCAGCAACCAUGGAAAAUGCUACAGAGGCUGCUGAGAGUGGUGUCACCAAGGAAAUCUCCCUUGUAGCUGUCUGCAGGCAGCCAUGGGCUGUGUCCCUGGUGCCCUGCAGCAGUGACAAGCUUCUCUGCUCAUCUCCAGUGCCAGCCCACCUUCAUCUAGAGAGGGCUCCUGUUGCUUCCAGACAUGACAUUGAGCCACGAUGUGCAAAAGGGAGGAGACAGGGAGCUGCUGUCUUCAGAGUAAUGAAGGGUAGAUCUGUGCCUGUAUUCACCCCCUGAAAACAUGUCUGCACUACAGGAAUGUGCUUCUGAAUCUACAGUGAGGAAUUCUCUUGUAAGCCAAUAUAUUUUUUAAUGAAAUAAAAACAAUGGAAAUCCGGAAAAAUAAUGAAGCCCUGUUGGACAGGACCUCUCAGGCUACACAGGCUGUGGCUUACCAGCUAAGGGGCAAGCUAACACACCUGCCUGGGUCUCUUGUAACAGAGAAAUCCCAAGGGAGUCUUAUCAUUCCAGUGGGCAGGUUUUGAGGCUGUGUACUUGCAAUAGGAAAAUAACCACAGUACCUCCACUCUGAUGCCAUUAGGGCCCUUGUAUGAUUUGGGUUUAAUGUCCCCUUCCUCUUCCUUGUCCUUUCCCAAAUCCGUGGCUGGCUUGGUGCUGAUGGCAGUGAGGGUACGUUCUGGUGUGCAAAGACACAGCAUAGAUGAAUUAUAUCCCAGAGUGGCUCUCUGAGUGCAGAGAAAAGCACAGAUUUUCUGUGUGCCUGUGAACAGACUCCUUGAAAGCAGAGCAGAUGUACAAGUUUCGUGGUGAAGAGCAGGUAAAAGUUCUCAUGUCCUGGGUAGGGGCUGCUGGAAACUCCUGCCUGCUGUUCCUUCUGUCCCCAUAGUGCAGCUGCCAAAACCAGCAGUUACAGACAGCGUGGAUCUUAGGGGUACAUCCAUCACUACCUCUAACGCCAUUUCUCUCCCCAGCUGGGCUUUAAGAUCUGUCUGCUGCAGGCAUGUUCUUUUGGAGAUAGUUUUGGAGAUAGUUUUGGAGGUAACCAGCCUUUAUCAGUGUCUAACGUGACAUGAUUAGAAGGAGAAACUUAACUGUAAUCAAUAAUUAGCAUCUGUCUGGACAGAUAUGAAAUGUGCAAUAUAUAAAGCCGAUAUAUAUACACACUCACAAAGUAUUGCAGACAAGUACCUAUACAGCACUGUUUACAUGCCUAAUAUUUUUUGCAGCAAAAUACCACUUCAGAUUAAGUAAUACCAAAUUGUACUCUUGACAAUAAUAUAGAUAUUUCCAAUUUAUUUUUAACUUUAUCUGGCUAAUUCAGACACACUUGGGUAGCAGUAAUACGUCUCUUCCUCUUCCUCUUCUCAUGCUGUUUCUAUUCUGGUACCCAGGGUCUCUCUGGCAAUAGCUCUGCUUCCCAUUCCAUGUUUCCCGUUGGGAAGCUGGAAUACACUGUCAUUGGUAUCGCAGCACCCGACUGCGUGCUGCUAUUCAAAUGGGACAAAAGGAAACGCUGCUCAGUCCCGGGAGCUGUGGGGAAAUGACCAUCGCUAAAUGAUUGACUGGAACUCCUGCUGGCGCUGCGAGCGGGCUCUGGGGACGCGAUGGGCCGCGUCGUGUUCCGCCUUUUGCCUCUGCCUGAGAUGUGAACCCCGG